rnacentral:lncRNA from 1 species
UCCUUCUAGCUCAGAUUGUGAUGGACCGGGAAUGCGACACUAGUUACUCUUAAGUCAAGAACCAAAUGAAGCACCAGAGUACAGAUUAUGGAGGUAUCUGAAGUUGAACUAACCGGAAGCAGGGAACCAUACUAAUAAAGUUCCUUAAGGUUCCUUGUAAAGAUGAACCCAGGGAAGGAUCGAAAGUGGAGAAGACCAGAUCAAGAAAGACCACAUCAAGAUCUGCGGUCAGUUCAAAGGAUUUUUUUUGCAUUGGACUGUUUUUUUUUUUGGCUUUAACCUUGCUCGACCCUGACCUCACUCUUGGACUGCCCUGUUGGAUUUUCAGUUUAUUUAAUUUAAAUUUUUUAUUUUUUUUUGGUUCUAGGUAAAUGCUAAUAAAUAUUUAGUUGUAAUUAUUUAAGUAAUAUAUUUUUGUUAAAUAUGCGAUUUCUGUGUUUGUUCUGUCUACUCAUACUUGUUUAUCUUGUUUCUGUAAUUAUCAUUUGUUUAUUUGACCCCUGCCUCGCCUCUGAUCUUGUUUUUGGAUUGCCCUUUAUUUAUCUCUUUAAUUAUUGGUUCUGGCUAUAUGGUUAUAAAAUAUUUGUUAAUUUAAUUAAUAUGCAUUUUAUAAAAAAAUAUAUAUAUUUUCUGUGUUUUUUUUCUGUAUCUAUUUAUCUAAUUUGUAUAUACAUUUGUGUUUGUAUGUUCUUCUUAUUCUGUAUAUCCACUUACCUAAUUUUAACUUUUAUAUAUAUUUAUUUGCAUUUAAUUUGUGAUAAUUCUGUAUGCGUUUAUUUAUCUAAUUCAUAUAUUUAUUUGUAUUGCAUUGAUCAAUCUGUUGUUGUUUUUUUGUAUGCAUCUAUUUAUAUAAUUUAUAUAUUUGUAUUUAUCAAUUUAUAUGCUUCUUUUAAAGCAUUUUUUUAAAUAAAGCAAUUUAAACUAA